UACGAAGGGUGCAAACGUUGCUCGGAAUUAUUGGGCGUAAAGAGCUCGUAGGCGGUUUGUUGCGUCGGCUGUGAAAUCCCGAGGCUCAACCUCGGGUCUGCAGUCGAUACGAGCAAACUAGAGUGUUGCAGGGGAGACUGGAAUUCCUGGUGUAGCGGUGAAAUGCGCAGAUAUCAGGAGGAACACCGGUGGCGAAGGCGGGACUCUGGGCCGAUACUGACGCUGAGGAGCGAAAGCGUGGGGAGCAAACAGG
rnacentral:rRNA from 1 species